UCUCCGUAGGUGAACCUGCGGAGGGAUCAUUACAGAGUUCAUGCCCUAACGGGUAGAUCUCCCACCCUAUGUUAUCAUCACUUUGUUGCUUUGGCGGGCCGUCAGGCCUCGGCUUGGCUACCGGCUCUCGCUGGUAAGCGCCCGCCAGAGAACCCCAAACCCUGAAUAUCAGUGACGUCUGAGUACUAUAUAAUAGUUAAAACUUUCAACAACGGAUCUCUUGGUUCUG
rnacentral:misc_RNA from 1 species